CAGAGGCACCUCAUGUGACUCCCCAUUGCCCCCUGCCCAGCCCCAUAGCCUCUCAGCCACUUGCCCUCUUCGCCGUCUCUCCUGCUUGUUCUGCUGGCCCGCAAUCGAAGCAGCAGGCAAGCUGCAAAGAGCUCCUUUUCUCCCGCCUCUCAGCUGAUCGGCGGGUGGGCGGGGCUUCCACGGAGGCCUCCGUGUAGGCCGCAGUGAAGCCUGAACUCGAGUAGGGCCCAAGCAAGCCAGGAAGGAGGAGGCAGCCAGUGUGUUCUCUGCAGCAGAAGACCCCUUGCUGCCCUGCUUAACCCAGACCAGCAUUUGCCAGGCGGCAGGGCCUAGCGGAGAGUCGGGCCUUCGGCACCCGCCCACUUGAUGGCCACUUCUGCCUCAGCCCGCCACAGCAACAGCAUUUGUCAUGGGCAGCGGAGACUCUUCAGAGGACAGCAAGAGCUGCAGGCUGGGCCCUACCCGGCCCAGGUUUGGGGGACGUGGCACGGGUGGUUGGUGGCAGGCCGGGAUAAGGUCUGGGAGGACAGGUUGGGGGACUUAGGCCCUAGCAUAAGACACCACUUAGCAGGGGUGGUCCACAGGGGGAGGGACCCUCCAACUUGCGGGUUCAUACCCCAUCCCCACCCCCAUAGCGCUUGGGCACGUGCUGACCCCUUAUUUGCACUCGGGCCUCAGUUUAACCUCUUUCCGGCAGCGUCCCGCUAGGGAGCACUCACAUCAUGGCCCCCAAGAAGGCACCGUCGGGGAAGGGAAAAAGGCCCGCCACGGCGUCCAAGCGCUCGAAGCAGUCACGGCAUCCAUUCCCGCCACAAGCGGCACCAGGGAUGUGGAGGGACUCAGCGGAGACAGUGGGACAGCGUCAGGAUCUACAUCAGGAGCCGCCUCCGAGGACCAGGCCGG